UUUGAGCCUGAGAGGGUUAAUAAAACUGAGCUUUGUCUUAGUAUUUCAUGUUUUUCUGUCGACAGACUCAGAGAGGCUAAUAUGGAGCACCGGGAAAGCGGGAAUAUCCCCUGGUGGACAAGUGCUGGUGUUCUUACCCCUUCUUCCCACCGGAGCCGUCAGCAGCACGUUACUACAGUGUCAUAUUGUGGCGGUUUUGGCUUUCCAUAUUUUGCUGCUUGGCCCUUCCCACGAGACGGAGAGAAGACGCGAAGCAGCAGGGGAGCAGCUGUCACCGACAGACGUGACUUCGUCAGUAAACACAACAACAAGCAGGAGAAAACUACAACAUGGCUCCAAAAGAUGGCUGAUACGAGGAGCUCGUUGUAGAUGGCCACAGCGAUGUAACGAGGCUCGUGGAACGCCGAGGGAACGGUGCGAACAGCAUAACACAAGUAAAUUCCCCACUGCAGAAAGAGGAACUCGGCUGAAAUAAAGACAGAAAAGGUUGCAGGAGGGGGAUUGUGUUUAUCUACAGCAGUCAUUGAGCAAGAGCUGGGGCAUACCCUGUGGACCGGUCCAUCAUAGGGUCACAUAAAGAGCAACAACCAGUCAUACAAUCAGAGGGGUGGAGCCAAUCUGUCGUGGUGUGCCGUUGAAGACCAGCUGUGAGUGAUUACUGCAGUGAUAGGGAUGCUGGCAGGACUCAAAAAGAAGAAGAGACAGCUUAUCAGUUGAAAGAGUGGUCGUCUGUGUAUGUGGACAUGGUGCCUUUAUGAAGGUGGGUGGGUGCUCAGCGCAACUGUUUAGGGUUACCAACAUUGAAGAUGGUCAGAUGAGAGGUGAGCAUUUCCUGAUAAAGGAGGGGAAGUGGGCCAUUAAUGUCAUGUUCUGUAUCCCUUAGGGCCCCAGCUCCCUCUAGGCUUCCCUCUUGUUUCCUCCUAGUCACUCCCUGGAAGAUCCUAUUUGAUUUUGUAUUAGUCCUCCUCAUCCCUCUAGUCAUUAGUUGUUUAUCUUUGCCCUUAGUCUUUAGGUUUAGUUAUUUAGUGUUUUAUAGGUUAUGGUUUAGCUCCCCCUCUGCUUAGUUCUUUCCCCCAUUUAGUUUAUUGAUGGCACCUGUCUCCCCUCUAGACCUCACUCCUCACACCUGUCCCCCUGAUUGCUUCCCUCUGUGUUUAAAAACCCUGUCUUGUCCCUUAGUGUUUGUUGGUCCAUUGUCUUUGUCAGCGUUGUUCUGUCCUCCUCAGGAACUCCAGGUUCUUGCUCAUGAAUAAGCUUUGUUUUGUAGUUUAGUUUAUUUUUUUCCAGAUUUUCGGUUUGGCUUCCUGCCCCUUGGGAUAUUCACCCAUCAUCCUAAAUAAAGGAUUUUACUUUCAACAACCGUUCCUGCCUCGAGUGAUCUGGCGUUCUGCAAUGGGGGUCCUAACCUCCUGCUCUCAGAGUGACAGAAUGGACCAACCACCACUGGAUCCAGCAGAACCCUCGACUCCACCCACAUCACACCGCUACAGGUACUGUGGCGACCCAGAUUCUUGCCGAGACUUCAUCGAAGCCUACGCUCGUCUGGACCCGGCUUCCUCGGAGUUUGACAAGGGUCUCCCUCAUGGUGGUUAAUUUGGGUAGUAGCGGCCUGGAGUGGACUGCGGACAAUUUUGAAGAACAUUAAGAUCCGUGUCAUUCUGGACAUUUGCCAAGGAGCUGCAUCGGACAUUUGGCUGUAAAUGCCCCCCCCCCCCCGCAAUACAGUCUACCACGUCUCCUUCUGGUCCUGGCAGUGCUACUUCCUCAUCUCUGGUAGGCUGCCAUGUCACAUCACCCUCUUCCCAUCAGUGCCACCUCUUCACCUCUGGUGGGCUGGUCCUCAUCACCGCCUGGUUCAGAUAAUCCCACCUCUUCAUCUCCGGUAGUCCAGCCCCCCACCUCACAACAGCCAAGGAAGGGUCCAGGUUUCCCCUCCAGAUCAGCGUUGCUGGGGAGACGCAGGUCCUCCUGACGCCACCUCCCGUCUUCUGGUGGGUCAGGUCGCUAAGGGAUCUCCCCUCUCACCUCAAGGUCUGCGUUCAUGGCCUGGAGUCGACCCAGAAGCCUCCCUUGUAGUAGUGUGGUAGUGUUUGGGUUCUAACCUCCUGCUCUCAGUCUGACAAUUAAGCCUAAUUUAUACUUCUCCAUCAGCUCCACGAGAGAGAGACACGCACAAACUAACAGACGUUUUGCUCUCGGACUCCUCUGUCUCCUGGGGAAUGUUUUAACCCUCCCACUGAGCACCACCUCACCCCUGCCACAUGGACCCAAGGGAUAAACCAUCAACCCUGCUCAAUGGUCAACCUUCCUCGCGGGGUCACACCCAUAAGGACAGUGGGAGGGUUAAAGCCAUUCCCCGCAAGGACAACAGAGGGUGUAGCGCUGUUCUGUGGUAUCCUGUCAUGUAUCCGGUCCAAGAAAGUGUAUUUACUAUUGUGUUUAUAUUGUGGGUUAUUUAUUUUUAUUUUAUUUUUUUGUAUUUCAGAGACCUUUUAACAUGGACAAACACGCACUCGCCACCUCUAAACCCACGUUUCCCGUCAUUUCCGUCCACGAAUAAAACGCUUGCUGGGCAUCUUUUCACUCCUCCAGUCACGGCGGAAUAAAAUGUUCAUAUUUUUAGCGUUUUUCCGCAAGGUAUUCUUCAAGCUGCUCCGUGUCUGCUGCUAGAUAUCUUCAUCUCUCUUUACGUUUUUGAGGGCGCAAUGGCGGCGCUGUUGAUGAUGGCGGCGUCUUGACCAAUCACAAGCUUGCGUUCGCCAUCUCGUUGGAUGGAUGUUUAGAAAAGAGAGCGCGACUCUGUCUGCCCUUGCGAGCCUGCUGGAGAGCCCUUGGAAGGAAGAAUAAUGGCGUUGCGUGCGUCCUUCCCAACGCAGACGGAAAAGGGGAGAUUAGGAUUUAGACGGACACCACGAUCUACACCAGUCCUUCCUGCUUUUACGACCAAGGCAAGACACUUCACACCCACUGCCUGCUGGUGGUGGUCGGAGGAACCCGUGGUUCGGAAGCCUCACCUCUCUAAGUUCGCCCCAGGACAUCUGUAUGCAUGGGAGAAUGACUGUUUUGCAAAGUGCUUUGGGGGGCUCUGGAACCCUAUGGAGGCGCUAUACAAGUACAGGCCAAUUACCUUAAUUUAAAUAAACUCUAAUGUUUCAUAAAACAUUUUCACGUAUAUGAUGACUUGGCAGCAGCUUUCUUCUCUGUAGCAUUACAACACGUUGUACAGGGAAACUGUUGGAAAACAUUGCCUCAAUGUGUUUAAUUACACGCACACACGUACAUACACGCCACCGCCCCAACCGACACACACCGUAGGCUUACAGCAUUAUGUCAGGCGGGGGCAUGUGUCGCCCACUUUUUAAAAUGACACAUUUCUGUCAUCAUUUGUCCCAAGAAUAAUUAGAUAUCUGAAGUGUUUGUUGUGAGUGGUAAGAAUGCUAUUACAGAUAUAAGGAAUAUUAAUAUUUACUCCGCCUAGUGCAUGUUAGAGUCCACCUUGUUUUUUUCUCUCUUUUUUAAGAAUAUGGGGUUGUCUCAAAUCAGUGCAGUUAUCCUUACUUAAAAUAUCUACUUCUAACGAAAUACCCGUUGAUAUCAGUAAUUUCAAUUUUACUUGUAAUAAUAUUAUUUGUACUGGGAUAAAUGAUUGCUUUGUAAAAUAGUGUUGUGGUCUACACCUCGUGAUCGUUUUUUAAUGUGUGUUUCUUCUCUGUGUCGGUUGGCUGUGGUUCUUCCUGCAAUUCCUACCCCUGUGUGGAGCACCGGGGAGUGCCACAGCUGACUGCAAUAUCCUGAUUGCCACACCUUGUAUUUAAGCAGCUGUUCCCAGUGCACGGUGAGGCGUUGUUUUGUAGCGCUGCUUUGAGCCUGUGGAUUGCCAUUUGUAGUCUUGUUUCAAGUAAAACCUGCAAAGCCUUAUUUCCCACUGAUGUGGUGAUUUUUUAUUUUUUUGUUAUUAAAAGAACUCAGACCGGGAUCAAGUCAUCCGGCCUCCUGCAUUUGGGUUUAUUUCUGUGUACCCUCACGUGACAAAUAGUGAUACAACAAAGAGGUGUGGUUGUUAAAUAAUUAAAAUGGUUCGUUAAAUUCAAAUUUAGUCCACAGCCACCUGCUGGUAUUCUUAUUAUCAACAAGAACUAGAUAAACACACAAAUCAAAAGUUUCUAUUUCUUAGUGUUUUGGUAUUUUCGGCAUUAAUCAACGAGAGGUUUGUGGUGAAUAAGUGGUUACUGAGUUAAGGUUUAACGACUGUAGGUAAAAUAGGUGUUUAACGGCUUUUAUAAAUUCCCCAAAGUGCCAGAGAGCUGUUGCCCGUUGCAUUAAUUCUGCUCUAAACUCCUGUAAUUUGCACUUCAGCCACAUCAACAGAAGUAUAAUAGAGGUGAGAUUUAGUUGCUUGGAUUUUUGUGAGGCAGUAGUAGCUCAACAGGUUUAGCGGGUUGUCCAGUAAUCGGAAGGUUGCAGGUUCGAUCCCGGCUCUGGACAGACAAUUCUGCUGUUGUGUCCUUGCGCAAGACACUUAACCCACCUUGCCUGCUGGUGGUGGUCGGAGGGACCGGUGGCGCCUGUGCUCGGCAGCCUCGCCUCUGUCAGUGCGCCCCAGGGCAGCUGUGGCUACAUCGUAGUUCAUCACCAUCAGUGUGUGAAUGUGUGUCUGAAUGGAUGAAUGAUACACUGUAGUGUAAAGCGCUUUGGAGUCCUUACUCUGAGAGGUGCUAUACAAGUGCGGGUCAUUUAUUAUUUAUCAUGUGUGCAGAAAUUAUGCAGAGUAUUUGGGGAUGAAGCAGCUCAGAGGAGGGAACUAGCGGUUCAACCAUGAACAUGAGAUGACUUGUUCUUGUAUUCGUACAUCUUGUUCGUCAAACCGAACUGAAACCAAAUCCGAGCAGCAGGCAGCACCAUAUGUGGCCCAGAUUCACAUGCACACUAUACAAAAACACAGAACACAAACACUCACCCACAGCCAUCAUGUAGUCCCAUCGGUCCAGCAGACACAUACUGAACUGUAGUCCCUCUGAAGUGAGGCCCACUGUGAUGAGAGCUCGGCUCAGCUCCGGUUUCUCACACACAGCGGAGGUCCAAGCCACCAGGAACCAGAACACCACCAGGAGAAUCACCACCAGCAGAUGCAGGACCCUCCAGCUGGUCAUGUAGGGCGUCCUCUGGGCCGUGCGGGACAGGAACACCAUUAACACCCUGGGAAGACAGAAGGGGACUGACUAGACUUCAGGUGGUGAUUCUUAUCAGUGGAGUAAAACGAUAAACAGCCACUCUGAUCUGCCUUUUCUGACUAAAAUACUAAAAAUAUCCAUGUGUAUUAUAAAAGAAGUACUAGAAAUAUGAAUGUUGACCACCGAAACCAUCAACAACCAACAAAAAACGCUAAAAACAAAACAAAAAGGUAGAUUUUGAAACAAAUUCAUGAAAAUAGGCUGUCUCUACAGAGAACUGGAGUGCAGCAAAACAGAACAAUAAUACAAAAUUUUUUUGUUCCUUCAUAGAUUUCUUCUAACUUUUGGUAAAACGUAAAUGAUCCAGAUCAACAGACACAUUUCAAAAUCAAAAUAUAAAAAGCUGUUUGUAAAUUGUGGUUUAAUUUUUUAGGGGAAAGCUAUCCUAACCAGCCUUAUCUGAUCUAAAAAGUAAUCUAUGCCUGAAACUUUGGAUAAAUUGGGUUAUUAUUGCUGCAGUCCUGAUCAAAAGUUUAAGACCACUUGAAAAAUGGCAAAACAAAUGUUUUGUGUGGUUGGAGAUAGUAGAGAGAAGUAGAAAUUCAGCCAACUGAAACAGGUUGUUACAGCUGGUCAAAAGACCACACCACUCAUGGUCAUUUAGGAAAUUUCAAAUGAAUGUCUGACUGCAUCCCACCUCAGUGUGCUGAGAGACAACCUUGUGCACUCAAACAACCUCCUUUUCUUUGCCUUUGCCAUCAGAACGUCAGAGACAGAAAAUGACAACGACUCCACUUGUUUGCACAGAUUUGGCCUUUAAAGGCAAGUGGUCUUAAACCUUUGAUCAGCUGCAAAACAGCCUGUUUGCAUUGUUUCAAUAAAUUGCUGCUCAGAAAAUAUUUGGUCUCACUCCCAUUUCGUCAUGUUGCAUUUUGAAGCUAUACUUGAGAAAUUGUUAAGAUCAAAACAUGCAAAAUAUGAUUUUUACCAAUUUUCAAAUGUCUUCAACUUUUGAUGGGACUGUAUUAAGGGUACUGUUGUAUUUAGAUAGCUCAUCAUCUGCAGUCCUUCAGAAUGUGACAAAAGUAUUUCAUUUCCUGCAGGAGCUUUUGAAGGAGCGGGCUGUGAGAACACAGCCUCACGGCCAAUUUCCAAACCAUCGAAUUAAGACGAAAUAUCUGUGGUUUAGCCAGGAGAACAAUCGGACCAAUUGUUGACCUCCUUUUGGUAUGCCUUGUAUGUGCGUGCAUACGUGUGCGUGUGUGGAAGGCAGAUCAAACCUGUUAUGAAGCGCUAGUGCUUAUGGGUGGGACGGAACGCAGUUCCGUGUGCACACUGAGCUGAAUUAUUGAAACUGAAAAAGGUUAACUCAUGAAGAGUGAAGAGAAGUUGAGGGGGAGGAGAUGUGAGGCAAAGAGAUGGGGCUGGUCUAUUUUUAGUCUGGGCUUUCAUUUUGAUUCUGUUAUAGAAAUAAUUAAUGAAAAGAGGAUGUAAGUAACAUGAAGAUGACACCAUGCUGCAGUCCCUUACUUUUUUUUUAAUCGUACCUGUACAACUUGAGGAUGACCGUGCCAUACAGGAUGGCGAACCCUAGGAGACGGACCCACCUCAGGAGGAUACAGCUGAACACGCUGGGAUUAAAGUACAGGAUCAUCACCUGAAAAGAGGUGCAGAACAGCAGGGGUUGGUACAAAAACAUGCUGGGACACACAGGCAUUCAAUCUUCUCUUCUAUUAAAGGAACACCAUGACUUGUCAAAUCAAAUCAAAUCAACUUUAUUUAUAUAGCACUUUUCAUACAAAAAAUGCAACUCAAAGUGCUUUACAGAUUAAAAUGGCCCCAUAGAUCCCACAUUCCCAUCCCAGCCCCCCUCCCCAAGUAUAAAACAAUUAACAAUUACAGUUCCCCUCCCGCACCCAACUUCCAAAGUGGACAUACAAUCACCCGCACACUCGUCCAUGCACACACACACACACGCACACACACACACUCGUGAACACCAGAGGAAACAAUAGGCUGAGUUCAGAUGGGUCAGGUAAUGAACGACACAUCAUCAGCGGAGCCAUCUGCCCUGGCAGCAACAGAUCCACGGCAGCAGCCAAGACACCGGCCCAUGACGCCCAGUGGAGUAGGGCAGAAACCCCCACCAGUGCCCGGGCACUACCCGGGGAGCGCUCCGGCCGCCACCGCCCCUGACCACCGGCCCCAAGGCAGAGGGCUCCGCAGAGGAAACACUGGAGGAUUUAAGAUAUAUAACAUAUAAAAUAAUAAAAGCUAAUAAUGAUAAAAAGUAACUGAUAAAAAGUGAUUAUAAAGAUAGUAAAAGAAAACAUAAUCAUGUAAAAACACUAAGAUGUAGAUAAAAUGAUAAAAAUAAUAAAAGAGAUAAAUAUGUAUUUAUAGAUAAAUAGUGAUCAGUUAAAAGCUAAGCUAAAAAGGUGGGUCUUGAGCCUAUUCUUAAAAGCCUGGAUGUUCUCUUCGGACCUGAGGUCCUCCGGCAGCCCGUUCCAAAGGCGAGGGCCGUAAUACUUGAAGGACGCCUCGCCGUGGGUGUGAGUCUUAACUUUAGGGAUAACUAGGAGACGGCUGCCAGAGGAGCGCAGAGACCGCGAGGGUUUAUAUAGUAAAAGCAGUUCUGAAAGAUAAGAAGGCCCAAGACCAUUAAGACACGUAAAAACCAUUAAAAGAACCUUAAAAUCAAUCCUGAAACAUAUGGGGAGCCAGUGCAGUGAUUUUAAAACCGGAGUGAUGUGCUCCCGCUUCCUGGUCUUCAUCAGGACACGUGCUGCUGAGUUUUGUAAAAGUUGUAAACCUGAGAUGCUCUUUUUGGGAAGACCAGAAAGCAGGGCAUUGCAGUAAUCAAUUCUACUGGUUACAAAAGCAUGCAUCAGCGUCUCCCUAUUGGCCCAAGAGAGAAUGGGUCGGACUCUGGCGAUAUUCUUAAGAUGGUAAAAACCUAUUUUUGUGAUGUUUUUACGUCUACAUGAACAACAUCUGCUGCGUCGAUGGGAGGACUCUGCGUAUUCUUCUCCCUAGCCAGCCACCAGGUAAAUGGCUGAUACGAUGCAUACCUGUAAGACCUAAAAACUUUUAAAUGUAGUAAUUUAUAUAUAUUUAUGUUCACUAUCACAGUAAGGUGAAGAGAUACACGGUCCACUGAACUUGUGAUUUUUAUAAUGGAGCUACUGUCUUUGACUUCACCUGGUCCCUAUUUGGAAGCCCUGCACUAACCCGGUCAUGGAGGCUUACAAGCGCUGCCCAAAGAACAGGGUAACUGAGGCAAACUGCUUCAAAGUUUUGGUGCACAGCAUGUGAUGUACGGAGUAUCUGAAAAUAAUGGAAUCAUGUUGGCAAUGUUAUUUCACUGUAUGGUGAAGAACAUUCAGAUUUGUUAUGAUGUGGUUCUGUGAUAACAUAUAAUAAACAUAGUUUUAUGAACAUUUUAUUACGCAUUUGUCUCUUUUUAAUACGCAUUUCUCUUUCCGGAGUAUUUCUUAUCUGAUGGCACCAUCUAGUGGCUGACAAGCAUAUCACACAAAUAGUCUCUGGGUCCGUUUUUUUAAGAUGGCAACUUCACGUUUUUUAUUAAUAAAUGUGCUUCUGUAGCUGACAAACAGAGCUAAAACAUGUUGUUUUACAUGUAUUAUUCUCAUGUCAUGUUGUGUUGUCAUAUAUUUAUAUUUUAAAGACUUACUUGCCCGUGAAAAGUUCCUCAACUGCAUCAGCCAAGGUAUUCCUUAAAUUUGAAUAAAAAAAGUGGUCGUUUAACUCCAUUGGUUAGUUCUGGUCAGCACUCAGUUUCCUACUUCACGGAGCUCUGAGGGGCAGGGGGUGCAGACCGACGGGACCCAAAACAUAAACACAUAUAGAAAACCAACACACACAGACCAAUAUUUAUUAUGGACAUCAGAACACCCCACCAUACACAAAAUGUCAUUAAUCAGAACAUUAUAUCACCGAGCAACCAUGGUAACAGAAGAAAGAGACCGCAAACAAGAGGGCAAACACAUACAACACUCUUUAAAGACCUGCGGAUACCCGACAUGGAUAAACAAAAGAAAACAACAAACAGUAACAGAAAGAAAAGAACAACCGAAGCAAAGAACCAGAAACCCAGAAAGACAAGAACCAAAACCAGUGAUGCCCUACCAUACAUCAAAGGCAUAACAGAAAAAAUAAGAGCAACAAUGAAAAAACACAACAUAAACACACCAACAAAACCAUACACAAUAGUUAGAAACAGACGAAUGCACCCAAACGACAAAAUACCAGCGGGACUUAAAUGUGGAGUCAUUAAUGAAAUCCCAUGCAAACUCUGCAAUAAAACAUACAUAGGAGAAACCGGACGCCAACUCAACACACAAACAAUAGAACAUAGAAAGGAGUGCGAGAAAGAAACAAGUUGAAAACACACAAGAGCAGCAAAACAAGAAGCAGAAAGCACAAUAAAGAAGUCAGCCGUAACAGAUCACUGCACAAGAGAAAACCAUGUAAUGGACUGGGACAACACAAGGAUCAUAAACACCGAACAACAGGAAUACAAAAGAUGGAUAACAGAAGCUAUAGAGAUAAGGAGACGUGGAUGUGAGACCAUGACCAGAGACGAUGGGGUCUACACAUUGGAUCGCGCAUGGGACUGCAUCAUCGAAAAGGGGAGAGCGGGCAGCAGAGGGCAACAACGUCCUCUGCUACCCGCGGAUAUACGGACUAGGAACCAACAGCGUCAGCUCUGAGGAUGUUUUGCAGUCGGCAAACGAAAUGUUAGCAAGGUAUAGAAAAACCUUUCCUGUGUUUUAAAAAGAACCAAAACUGGAAUAAGAUACUUUAAUAGUCCGGGUUCUUUUUAACUUGGCUUUUUCCAUCUGAUCAACAGCUGCUGUCAUGGUCUGAGGUGAGUGGUUCCUCCUUAACCCAGGUGUGAGUGCUUAAUUGCAAGUGGGUGGUGCCGAGGAGCGGGCAGCUGCAGCUGAUUCCCCAUCAACCGGUCUGGGCUUAAAAGGAGCAGGGAGACAACGUCACCUUGCUGGAUGAUUACUCAGUUUGGGAACACUCGCCACGUCCAUCCCUCCAGCCAUAAACCUACGGACCUCAUCUCUGGACCACAUCUCCCCAUGCUGAGCCAGACCGACCCGCUCUCCAUCACUCACCUGGCACUCUCUUCUCCCCUCCUGGAAGGACUUUCGAGCCUGACCUACACCUCAUACCUGACAACCUCCCGCCAACACCACAUCCGCCUUCCAAACCCACCGCCUCGUCACUAGACUGAACGGACCCUCCUCUACUCCUUUUGACGGCGCUCCCUUAGUUCCCCUUUUCUUAAAAUAAAUAUUAUUUCUUCAGUUUUUGCCUCCUGUAUUGAUUCCGUAUGUCCUGGGCCAGGAGACUUCACCAGAACAUGACAGCUGCUGCUUUUUCACUUCAUUUCGCACUUGUGUUAUUGUCUUCAUCAGGUAGAGAUUUGGGUCUAACUGCAGUCUGUGCAUAAGUACUGCCUCUUCUAAUAAAAAGACUUAAGCCCCUUCUCAUGCUAGAUCGCGCUUGCCCACUUUUGUCUAACAUCAAUUGCUCCUGGAAACGAAUGGAAAUGGGGGUAGGGCCUCUUCUGAGCAUAAGAAUAACCGCCUGGUAUGCCGCAAUAACUUCUGCUUCUAGAUUGCGCCAUUGUUGCCGGAUAUUGGUUUUUGCAAAUGGGUAUGUACUUCCUGUAAAAAAUCUAGGAAGUGUGAAAAAGGUCUGUGGCUGUGUCCAAAUCCAGAGGAAGGAUGCUUGUGAGUACGGGUCCUCGCCGGUCUAGCAAGGCCGGGUCCUUGCAAGACCGCUAAAACCGGAAGUCAGCGGCUCUGAAUUCGGACAGUCCUAGCCUCGUUUUUAUUCCCGCCCCCAGGUCAAGUUGCCUAGCUACCAUGACGGCGGCAAACAGGCUAACAAGCUAGUAGCGACAUUGAAAAUUGAUCCACAGCAAUGUUUCAUUUUAUUUGUGGUUUUUGAGGAGCUGCGACGGCUCAAUAAACGUCACCGGCCUUUGUAUUUAAGGUUUAAAAAUCAUUUAGUCCUGUUAUCUGCUAGAGUUACAAGUAUUAUACUCAUGAUCUCCUUUUUUGCAUAUAUCUGAAUGUUAGUGAUGUGACAGCCGUCGAGUGAGCCAGCCCAGCAAACCCUUUUGAUGGACGAUGCAGUGGUCAGUGAGAUGAGGCAUCCAGAAGCACCCUCUGCAGACCACUCUGUCUGAUGUUCCACUUGCCAACCAGAAACGUUCAGCCACGGAUCUCGGUUCCUGCACUCCAUCCACCUCGAUCCAUGUUUAGUAGAUUUAGCAACACCACCAAAGACUCCCUGCUUUCCAAGUUUACUGAAUAUAUUUUACUUUUAUCUUUAAUUUUAUUCCUUACAGUGUUCCCUUACCAUUUAUUUACUAUGUUGUUACUUGUUAAAAACUGAAUAAUAAAACUGUUAAUGAUCAAAAAAGAGUUAUCAAUUAAUAGAAAUUUUAUUACAUUUAAACAAAUAACAAAAACAUUCAAACACAUAUAUAGAACCUGAACCAGAAGAAACUAAAAGAAAAAAAACCCAUUUCUCUGCCAUCCUUUCCAUCAAUGCUAAACCUGUGUCCUGUUUAUUACUCUUCUUCUAAUACAGUGUAUGCACUCUCUCUAGCACCCCUAGUGUCCUGGCCUGCCACUACAGGGGUUACCUGCUAAACAGCAGCAUACAAUUGUUUUGCUAUUAUAAAAGAGUUUAAUUUUCUAUUUAUCCACCUCAUGUGAUAGAGUCUGCCUUUCUCCCCUUAAACACAUUAAUUACAACCGUAAUUCCAGACAAGGCAACUAUCUGUCCUCUCAAUGUAUUCAUCAGAGUCACCUAGAAAAUAACUAAUUCUCCAUUUAUCACAGUCACAAACUACCACGCAGACACACAAGUGGUUAAACACACCAUCCUCUCUUCAGGACAUCAUCCUAGGGGAUGACAAUGAAAUACCACAAUUUUAUAUCAUCCAAAAGAGAAGGUGGUUGUCUUGGUUUGCAUCAAACCUCUGAUGCCUCCUCCAUCAAUUAAUAAGCUGGAGUAUUUUUAAAACAGCUUGUGCUAGAACUUGAUGGACUGUUUAAAAAUGGAUAAAGCACCAGAGUGGUACAGCUACAGCUGAGGAGGCUUGUGGCUGCACAGAGAAGAGAAGGAGAAAAAAUAGGAUUAAACCAGUGCCAGCAAGUUAUGUUAAGGCUGAGUCACGAAGAAGAGACAGAAAAGGAACAUGCUGAGGAGGUCAUGAGAGGAAAACAUGAGAGAGGGAAGGAAAAAAGGAAAGAAGCUGAUGUAAAAACCAGAAAAAAAGGAGAGCAAAGAGAGAAAUAGAUGUUCAGCUGUGAGCAUGAGAGGAGGGUAUUUUAAGGAUUGGCGUUAUCUUUGGUGAGAAGGGUUGAUUUCAUAAAGAUCAACCAACAAUGCAAUUUCUGACAAGAAUGUUUAUGAUUCAACUGGUUUUAGGUGUGCAUAAUCAACAUCUGAACCAUUGUUUGCAUUGAGCAAGGUCCGUCGGGAACUUCUCAUAAUUUCUCCCAUGAGAGCCCAACAAGGGCUCAUCAUAGUGUGGACGCCAGCGGAGCUUAACUAACACCUGGUCAAAUGGGAUGUAAGCUGUGGUAAAAAUCCACGAUGACGUGUAUGGACAGGAGAGCAUUGGUUGAUUUAACUAUUGUUGGUUAAUCAUCCAGUAAAUUCUGCAUAUGGUCAUCUUUCGGCUUGGAUUUAGUCAGGUCAGUCGGUCGAUCGAUCGCAUGUUUUAUGGUCAGAAGAAUAGGCACUGGACCCUGGAUUGCAUGUGUUAAAAUCUCUCUGCAGUUUAUCUAGUGAAACUUUUCCAUCUUGCAUCUAAUGAUGAGAAAUUCCUGAUGGACAUCAAUAUUCAACAUUUAUGGACAGGAAUGUCACAGGUCAAAUCAAGAUGUUGUUCACCAGCUCAGUAAAGAAAACCUAUUAGGAAUUUUCUUAAGUUAAAAGACAGAAUAGAGGCAGAGGAAAAAAAGGAGAGGUCACUUCCCCCUUCUUCCCGGUUUUUCAGGCGCCAAGAUGGCUGUGAGCUCGUGGAAAACGGAUCUUCUAAAGCCAAAACUCUAAACCACGAGAGUUUUAACUGCACAAUGGUCCCCAAAGGGAUUUCAACACAACUUGCAGUCUGUCGCUGCAGGGACAGGUGGGUAAAGGCGCUCUCACUAAGGAAUUCAGCUGCGUUUAUCUCCGUGAAGCUAACCGGUUAGUACAGCUAAGUUAGCUGAUUUGGUUUAUAUCAAACCCUUCAGCAGAUGGAAUGCCACUUGAUACCUUGGCCCUCGACUUUAAUGGCCAGGUGCUUGCUCACGGAAUAUGUCCAUCUAAGGGUUGCGUCGUGGCAGCCUUCCGUACAUUAAAACUUGAUGGAUGAUAUGAAACAUGCUCAUUAGUUUAUUUGCACUAAAUCCCUUGAACACUGUUGCUAACCACUUAAACAUUCUCCCUCUCCUGAUAAUAACAUUUACUUUCUUUGACAUUGAAUGUGCUACUACUAGUUUACCCGUUUAAUUAUAGAUUCACGAGGAUAAAUACAAUAAAGUUUAUCUCUCACAAAAUAGAAUAUUUACUAAGAAAUCACAAUGUAACCAUAGAAACACUAUUUGGUAUAUAUGUUGUGUGUGUGUGUGUGUGUGUGUGUGUGUGUGUGUGUGUGUGUGUGUGUGUGUGUGUGUGUGUGUGUGUGUGUGUGUGUGCGUGCGAGUGCGCAUGCGUCCAUACGUGUGUGCGUGUGCUCUUGUCUUCUCGAUCCCCAGUGAGUCGUGGUGGAUGGCUGCUUAUACUGAGCCAGGAUCCUCUUGAGGUUUCUUCCUGUUAACAGGGAGUUUUCCUCUUCACUGUCGCUACAUGCUUGCUUAGUAUGAGGAUUGCUGUAAAGUGCAAUUUGAUGGUUUCCUCAUAUAGGAAACUUUUUUUCUGAUUGACUUACUGAACUGACCUGUAUUGGAAUGUUUAUUAUGAGAAGUGCCUUGAGACAACUCUUGUCAUGAUUUGGUGCUAUAUAAAUAAACUUGAAAUGAAUUGAAUCCCUCUCACAUCAACCGGUUUCAUUAGUUUUACUCUUGGCAGUUUAUUUACCUUCCAGAAGAGCCGCUUCAGGGCUCUCUCAUUUAAAGAAAACAAGCUGUCUCUGGACAGAACUCUGAUAUUAAGGAGGGGCUCAGAGUAGAGCUGCUGCUCCUCCAGCUUUGUAAAUUUUCUUCAUCAUGAUGCCACAAUAAUGAACUUUUUAAAGCAGCUCAUUAUAGAAUUUUGUUCAUGUUUGUUUAUAGAAGCAGCAGAGACGCACAUGGCAGCACAAAAAGAUGCAAAAGGUGAAUUUUGCAUCAUACCUCCAUAACAUGUUAAAGCUGCAUCUGGUCACACUAAUUUUGCUGCAGCACUCAUAUAGAGAGGGAUAGAAAUUUGUGUGAAUGACAUUUGUUUAGCACCUUUCAGAAUUGGAAGGGUGCGAACCAUGUAUAUAUGGACAAUGAGUUCCCAUAGAGCUCCGGGAGUUGACGUCACGUUUCCCGGCAUGCAACAGUUCAAAUCGAAACGGCGCCAUUAGGCAGGCAGAAGCCAGCAGCCGGACUAUUUGUUAUUGUCAAAAAACUCAAUCAAACAGGAAAUAUGGUAGAUUCCUGUUGUGCCCCAGGAUGCAGAACAGACGCGGACAACAAAAGGAAUGAGCCAUCUACAGGAUUCCCCAAGAUCCGGAGCGCCGCAUACGUUGGAUCAUUGUAAUAAAACGCGCUAGUGACCGGGCUAAAAUUAAACUGUGGGAUCCCGAGAGUAAAGGAUUUCACUUAUGCAGCGACCGCUUCAUAUCAGGUACUUAAAGCACCGUUUCCUCAACUGUGCAUGGUGUUUAUUUUAAAUGCUUUUAUUACAAUUCUUAGUGGGCUUCCUAAACUUAUUUUGGCGUGGCUUUUUCUGUCUUAUUACUCAUAGCAACAAGUAAACAUCUCGUAAAACGGUGCCUCGUGAGUUCUGCGUGCUGCCGUUUCCGUGUUUUAUGAUCACAGCAAUUAACCGGCUAAGCUGUAUUUCAUUUUUAAGCAAUGGUUGAUCAAUUGUCAGAUCACACAUAAAAAGCACUUUGGAUUGCUAUUAUCUGUCUCACCGAGACAGAUCUCAGACAGAUCCUGAGACGCUCCUGCCUGACAUAUUUAUUUUAUUCAUGAAAAAAAAAUCAGACUAGUGAUUUCUCUUGGCGUUCAGUUUAUACAUUCAAACAGCACAGCACUCUGUUAAAACUACUUACGUGUAAAUCUGUUAUUUGUCCAUCCAUCCAUCCAUCCAUUUUCAUCCGCUUAUCCGGAGUCGGGUUGCGGGGGCAGUAGCCUAAGUCGAGAGGCCCUGACUUCCCUCUCCCCAGCCGCCGGAGCCAGCUCCUCCGGGUAAAUCCCAAGGGGUUCCCCGGCCAGGUCCAGUAAGAAGUCCGCUCCGACAGCUUCUGGCGUCGGAGCGGGCAGUAGCGUCGAGAGUCCCAGACCUCUCCCCAGCUCCUCCGGCCGAGGGAAUCCCAAGGGGUUCCCCGGCCAGGUCCGGUGUAGUCCGCUCCGACAGCUUCUGGCGUUUUUAAAAAGUAUCCCAGGGGCACGGUAAGGGUCGGAGAUGUUUAGUCUAUUUCAUUUCUGACUAUAUAAAACGAUUUCUUCGGUUUUAAAGUGUGAAGUAAACUCCGACGAAGUAAAAUCCAAGCGGAUAUCCCGUUCACGUUCAUGGUUACAUCCGUGUUUGUUUACCUUUUUUUCCUGCCAAAAUGGCAUCUACUAACUGAGAGUCACGUGGGGUCCGGAGCUCUAUAGGCUCCAACAUUACGUUUUUGAAGUAAAAUGGGAGGUGGCCACCACCGCCAUUUUGACCGUGUCACAGGUUCCGUCAAGCCCAGACAAUUCCACAAAAAGGGAAGAGAGGUGGAGCUGAGAGUGGGGCUGUAAGGCUGGGAUCAAAUAAAGACACCCGGUCGAACUGAAGCGAUGUAGCUACAAGCUAACCCAAAGCUAACGCGGAGGUGGGAGCUAAGCUAAUGGAGGUAGCUACCUAGCUACAACCGGAGCUAACUCUGUGGAACAACAGCGGCCUGAAGCUCACAUGGAGUUUGUGUGGAAGUUUGCGGCACUUUUUCAUGAAAACUAUCUUUCUGUGAAUAAAAAAGUAUUAAAUCGGUAAGUUUAUAAGUGAUUUCCUUAAUGAAAAUAUAUUUUCCUUUGAGCAAGUUUUCAAUAUUUUUAACGUACCGUAUUUUCCGGAACAUAAGUCACUCCGGAGUAUAAGUCGCACCAGCCAUAAAAUGUAUAAUGAAGAAGAAAAAACAUAUAUGUCGCAUUUUGAGGGGAAAUUUUAUUAUUUUGCUUACAAAAUCUGAGACCAAGCAUUUCACAUUGCAAGACAAGUACCAGUAACAAUAACAGAAUAAACAAUGCGGGCGCAGCAGCGCGCCACAGUCUCCAGCAGAGGAUGGUGUUGUUUGAAACCCUCCCAGCAGGACAGGGGAGCUCAUUCCUGGGUCGGAGCCGGCCCGCAGCAGCGCGCCAUAGGCUGCAGCAGGUGAUGGCAGUGCAGAGGAGCUGAAACCUGGGCUGGAUCAGGUGCGCAAUGGCGCGCAACAGUCUCCAGCAGGGGAUGGCUGUGUGUUUUUUAUUCCCAGCGGGGCAGGGGAGCUCAUUCCUGGUCCGGAGCCAUCCCGCAGCAGCGCGGUAUAGCCUACAUAUUUUGGUAUAUAUAUCGCUCCGGAGUAUAAGUCACAGGACCGGCCAGACUAUGAAAAAAAGUGCGACUUAUAGUCCGGAAAAUACGGUAGUUAUUAGUAUUUGAGAUAAAUUAGCAGGCUGAAUACAUUUCAUAUAGUUCUAAAACUUAAUACUUGUUUGUAUCUUGUAAAGCCAAGUAGCCUUUAUUCUGGACUCAGUACAAUUUACCAAAAGUAAAGAGACAUUAUACAGAUGAAGUAAGCACAAGAUAACUUACUGAAAGAAACAGAAUUAUCAGGAGAACCAGAACAAGAGAGCCUGAUAACAGUCAUGUGAAAAUAAUAAUUAAAAAGUAUGUAUGCAUAAUAGAAAUAAAAAUAUAUUAGAAUUUGUGUAACUCACUGUGAUCCAAACAAAAAAUCAGCCGUGGCUGAUUGGCAAUCAUGAAAUGAGGUCUGGGUGUUUUAAGUUUCAUUCUUUUAUUACAUUUUUAUCUUAGAUCUGUUAAAAGGUCACCAUGGCAGCCUGUGUCUUCAACAUCGGCUACACAACGCAGCAAGUGUAAGUACCAAGUACCUGUCAUGACCACUUCAUGUAUGGUUUUGGAUUUUAAACAGCUAGGCCAAACCUGUUAUUUUUUUUCUCCAUAUUUUUAACUAAUAUUGCCUAUUUGUCUUAAAGGCCAGCUCCAAAAGCAGUGAAAGACUUCCAGGUGGGAGUCUCGCUGCUUUUGAAUUUUGCCUUUUGGACAGAUUUAUUUUCAUGCAAACAGGUUAAACAUAUCCCUGACUGUUAUAGCUAAUGUGUUGUUGAUAUAAUUUAUUUAUAGCCAUAACACUGUUGACAACUCUGUUCUUCCUUCACAACCCAAUGUGCCACUCACUCUGCAGCUCUCUGGGCCCCUUUUAUUAUUUAAAGUUUUUUUUAAUGUACCAAAAUUUUGUGUCUUCUUAUUUUAUAAAUUGUGAUGUAAAAAAAUUUUUUUUGCUCAAUUACUGGAAUUUCUUUGGUUAAGGAAAAAAAAAGGAGGGAAGAAUCAUUCAUGCCAAGCUAUUUCUACAACAGGCCCAUUUUAAGUACAACAGUUUCGUAGCAGCCAAUAGAAAUGUGUUCUGUACUAACUUUUCUUGGUUUAAAAAUCUGACUAAAAUAAACCUUAGAGGCUGCCGUAUUGCAAAACCCAAUCAUACUUGUUAUGUAAAUAUUAGCUUUGUAGGUAUUCGUAUAUAUUUUUUACAGAUAGAUAUUUGUGUGCUAAAAAAACCAUGAACUUAAAUCAUUUGUCAUUCUUUAUUGAAAAACAAUAAAAUACAGGUAUACAGAAAGUGUGGGAAAAUGAUAAUGUGAAAGUAUUGCUCUUUAAAUGCAAUACUAUUUAUUUUUAAAAAGAAAAACUAAAAAUGUCCUGUACAGCAACAUGACAGACGAAUGGUGGUCUGUCUGUCAGAAUGUGCUGAACAGAUUUGCUCUAUCAAGAGGAGCCUUAAUGUGUACGAGGUUCCCCUUGAAUAAAAAUUUAUGUUUUUGUAAUAUUGGUUUGGGUUAUGUAUCACCACAUCAGCAUGUAAAUGCUGAACCAAGAUGGAAUAAAGAGGGUUGAUAGAGGACAAACAAGUAAAUAAGAGAGGAAAAUAAAAACAACUAGGAAACCAACAUAAAAACAGCAACCAGCUGCUGCACCUGUAAAGAAACAUUUCUAAGAACCUCUUAGGUGUGUUCUUGCUGUGUCGUUCUAAUUCCAUGUUGUCGUUCUUUUUUAAAACACAAACGGUUUUGUUACCUGUUGACGCUAUGUUUCGCCGACGGCUGCUGGCUUCUUUAGCCUGAAGAAGCCAGCAGCAGUGGAAAAUAUCUUUAUUUGGAGAGAAGCCACCACCUCGUUCUUUUCCAAAGACAAAUUUUUGUCUAACCCCCAAAUUCCACUACCUCCGCUCCGGUCCGCCCCCGCCUUCCGCAGCCGCUCGCUUCCGAACUCAAUUUUUCUUGGUACCCGCUCUACAACGGCUCCGCUCCGGUGCGGAGACCUGAGGGGGGCAAACAAGCAUGCGCGGGAUUUUCGAGAUCUUGCGAUACAGUCCGAGCAAUAAACACGGAAGUUAGAUCCAGACGCCUGUUGUGUGGGAGAAGCAUCGGCAUGAACUGUUUAAUCUGCCCAUCAUUUGUGUUGAGAGAUCAGCAAUGUUUGGAUCAACAAAGUGUGACUACUUUGAUAGUAGAAACUGUAUUUAUGGCUUACUUUUGUGCAUUUAAACUUCAGCCGCCAUUGAUAGUUGUUAAAAGUUGUUAAACCUCUGCAUAUGAAACAAAAAACGCCUUUUGUUUAUCGAUUUAUUGUGAAAAACGGAAAUUGUGCUUGCUCCUUUUCCUGUUGGGCGGUUGUGAUUUCUGUCAAUUUACUGCGGAGGUGCUACGGCAUCCGGCGAAAAUAGGAUCGAUUCUAUUUUUGCCGGACGCCGGAACAGAGGGCGGCGCACGGCGCCGCACUGCCGGAGCACGGCCGCAGUAGUGGAAUUGCUCUGAUAGACUCCAACGGGACCGAUUUUGCUCCGGCGUUCGUGUCGGAGCGGAGAGGAGCGGAGAUAGUGGAAUUUGGGGGUAAGAAAGGUUCACAUUCUCCCUCUGAGCUUUAUGUUUGCAGAGAGAGGCAACUCCUCAACCACAGGGAGUGAAUUCCCUGUUUUCAUCAUGUCUUCCCAUCACAUGACACACAGGCUCCCUCCAUCUGCUUGCCUUCUAAAGAUGGCCCGCUGAUUCAGCUCUCCAGGUGGAAUGUGGGCUGUGUAAACACACACCGUGCAAUGGCACCCUCCUACUUUGUCAACACAAAGGCUGGCAGAGGCACACACACAUGCACAAAGACUAUGACACAUUCCCAGCAUGCUUGCACACCAGCUGUAGUGUCUUGGUCUCCGUUAUUGUCCUGACAGUGAUCACAAGUGAGACACCAUAACAGCAAACUGUGGCAACAGACUGAAUGCCAUCAUUGCCUUGUUAAAAUGGGAAUGUGCUGCGUGAUGUAUAAAUGAAGGAAUAUUAUCAUGUAAACACAUCCCUUCCUCCCACUUCUGUGUUUUAUACUCGGGAUGUGAAAAAAAUAAGCCUUAGAUUUGACCAUAUUUAUGGUUGAAAACUGUUGUGUAGAUGUUGAAAUGUGAUCCAUCUGACUGAUCAAAUAUCUUCUAUCCAUCCAUCCAUCCAUCCAUCCAUCCAUCCAUUUUCAUCCGUUUAUCCAGAGUCAGGUCGUGGGGGCAGUUGCCUAAGACGAGAGGCCCAGACUUCCCUCUCCCCAGCCACUUGGGCCAGCUCGUCUGGGGGAAUCCCAAGGCGUUCCCUUGCCAGGUGAGAGACAUAGUCCCUCCACCGUGUCCUGGGUCUACCUUAGGUCUCCUCUCGGUUGGACGUGCCCGGAAAACCUCACCAGGGAGGUGUCCAGGAGGCAUCCUGACCAGAGGCCUGAGCCACCUCAACUGGCUCCUCUCGAUGUGGAGGAGCAGCAGGUCUACUCCGAGCCCCUCCCGAAUGACCGAGCUUCUCACCCUAUCUCUAAGGGAGAGCCCAGCCACCCUGUGGAGAAAACUCAUUUCGGCCGCUUGUAUCAGCGAUUCGUUCUUUCGGUCAUUACCCAAAGCUCGUGACCAUAGGUGAGAGCAGGAACAUAGAACGACCGGUAAAUCAAGAGCUUCACCUUCCGGCUCAGCUCUCUCUUCACCAUGACAAACCGGUUCAACGCUCGCAUCACUGCAGACGCAGCACCAAUUUGCAUAUCGAUCUUGCGCGCCAUCUUACCCUCACUCGUGAACAAGAACCUUAUGGACUCGACACACGGGAGGCGACUAACGACCGCGAUCAGCGAAAUUUGUCGCUGUCGCUUUUAUUACCUGACACACGGGAGGCGAUCCGCGGCAAAGCCGUCUACGCGUUCUGUUCCAUGGUGACAUGUUUUGCUGUGUCAGGUUGGAAGGAAUUAAGGUUAUUUACGUGGUUCAGAGUUAAUAAAGUGGUAGAUAUGAUGUUUUACAAGGUGCUGCUAAGAGUUAUGUGAAAUCUUACUUGUGAUUUUACUAUAAAACAUAAUAAUAAUCAACUUCUCCUCCAUGUUUGCUCGGAGGUGUACGGAGCAUCAUGUCCACUCAUUGGUCAGUGAAUGAAACCUCCGUUGAUUGGUCCUCGUCCGAGCGACAGCGAUGAAAAGCUGAAAAUGUUUCAACUUUCUGGGAUCGCGUCACUAGGUCGCCUGUGCACGACACGUGCACGAGUGCAAAAUUUCACACGCACGUUUUUCGCAUUUCGCUUGGUAGGAGGGAGACCCGCGAUUAUCGCUUUGUCGCGCAUGUCUCAUUGAAAAUGAAUGGAGGAGAGAAGAUGUCGCCUCCCGUGUGUCAAGCCCAUAAGAUACUUAAACUCCCACUUGGAGCAGGACCUCGUCCCUGACCAUCUUAUUUUUGAUGGAUUCCUUUUUUUUAAGCUCAAAGUGUUCCAUUUUAUAUUGGACCUACUCAAACUACCAUUAGGUUUUUUUUCCUCCAAGCUGCAACCGUUCAAAGUUCAAAACCAUCUACAACAGGUAAGAUGUUAAGUGUGCAUAUUCUUUUCACAAAAAAAACCCACUUCAGGAGAUCUGAACUAGCAAUUUUAAGUUGCAGUGGGCAAGCAGGCUGACUUACUGGGAGGUAGAGCAGCAACACCCCAAACAAGAUGGCUUCCAACAGGAUGAGGCCUGACGUACGGAUGCUCUGUCAAAGAGGCAGAAGGAAAGGAAAAGCAUUCAGUGCAUGAAGGGAGAAAACUACUAAUCUGAUAUUUUUAGAUGGUUUUUAAGGUACCUGAUUCAUUUAAUACUGCUGCUGUUCUGUUGAUGUAAACUUCUAUCUAAAACAAAAUUCUGUAAAACCUGUCACUUCCGACAUACUGCUGUAACGAGAUCCAACUUGCCUUUCGUUGCAGAGAAAUGCUCAUUUAAAGCUGAGAACAGAUCAGCAGAAACACUUUUUCAAACCUCGUGUUUUCUUGAGCACGAGAGUUAAACAGAAGUUUUCUGGGUUGCAUGUAAUUACCCGCGUAUCUUCAUAGAGGACUUAUCUGUUGUGAUAAUCUAAAAGCCUGUGGGGACCUUCCUUGUAAAGAAAGAAAUCUGGGAGAAUCUGAGGCAACAACUCAAAUGAACUAUAAAUAGCUCACCUCUAAAAGUUUCACCUCAGUUCUGCCUGAGGGCCGUUACAGAUGAGAGAAUGUGUUUACUUCCCUGCUACUGGCAGAGAGAGUCAUGUACAUUUACUGAAAAUCUACAGGAUUUCAAAGGGAGAAGCUAUGGUAAAUAUGUUGGUUAUUAUUUCUUCUAGAAUGAAAUAAAAGUACAGAAAGUUAUAUUAUUAUAUUUUCUAAUGGAGAUACCAUCUGUAAUAGUGACACUGAGCCAUCAAGAUCUGAGCUUAACCGGACAAAAAAAAAAAGAUACAAAGUUAUCAAACGUUUUCUUGCUUUUCAUUUUCUUGAAAUACAAUUUGAGGUUUGAAGAAAAACAGAAAAGAAAACAGGUGGCUCCGGCAUUCGUUCAUGUGUCUGCUUCUGCAGGUUUUUACUUGUUCAAGGUAUGAUGUUAUUAGGGCCGGGACUUUAACACGUUAAUUAUGAUUAAUUAGUUAGAAAAAAAAGACGCGUUUAAAAAAUUCACGCAUUUAAAAUCGCAGCUUGCAUUUCAAGUAGGGCGGAACCUUUGUCGUUGCAUAAUUUCCUCGUACACCGAAUAUAACUGAUGCACACAACGAUGCACAGUGCUAAUGGCUACUAAAACGGAAUAAAAACAGAAAGAAGUUGCCUUGCUUGGACUGAUGCUGGAUUUAGGAAACACGUCCGCCUCUUUUCUUAACUUGAAAAACAAAUAACUUCCAGACAACAACGGAGUCCGUGUCGCGGACAUUUUUCUGCGGCUGCCCGGUGGCACCGGAAACGUUACAAAAGUUGCGGUACGCUAUAUUUUUAACAUUUAUGUAACAUCUGUGCAGCGCUGAAAGCACCAGACAGAAUAAUUCUUUGCCCUAGCAGUAGUUUAUGAAGGUAGUCAGACAAACGAGAGGCACCUGGCUGCCGCUGGGAGAACGCUGCGUGCUCUCACUACUCUGUAAACAGUCACAAACAACGUGUCUUAAAGUUGAAAACAGAAGUUUAAGUUAAAACAGAAACACUCUGAAACUUUUCUGAUGAUUUUCUAAACAAUUCUGUCGGGGAGUUAUACGUUUCAUGCAUUACUAUCAUUAAGCAGCGAGGUGUGUUGAAGCUGUCAUCAUGUUACCUAUACGAUGAUGGGCUGGAUAUUCAUAUUUAGAACUGAUAAAUCCUCCAGUGAAAUUUCAGUGGCAUUGUCAACUGCAAACCCUAACCUUAACCUUACUUUGUACUGCCACAUGUACAUCCUAAAAUCUUUAAUAUACAUGAAAAUGUAGUAAAAGUGUGGAGAAGAUGAGCUAAUGUCCCAUUAGUCAUCAUCACACACAGGUGAAAUUACAUCUCUGCAUUUGACCCAUCCCUCGUGGGGAGCGGUGAGCUACACUCCAAGUCUAUUUGGUGGUUUAACCCCUAAUCCAACCCCUCAAAGUUGAGUGUCUAACAGGGAUGGACUAGGUCCCAUUCUAAAAAGACUUUGGUAUGACUCGACCGGGAUUUUAACCCCAAUCUCCAACUCCCAGGGUGGAAGUUCUACCACUAGGCCACUGAGAAGGUAAGCUAAAUUUAUUGUCGUUUCAUUAUUUGAUCUUCACGUAUUUCAUGCUAAUUUAGUAUUCUGUCAUCAUAGAUUUCAUCUGUAAUUAGACCUUUUGGUGGUCUGCAAUAGCUUCUUGCACUUAGCUGAGAGGAUGGUUGACUGAGAGCCACUUCAGAAGGCUUCACCACUACUGUUGACCUGACAUCCUUCAUUCUGCUUUAGGUACUGAUCCUGUGCAGUGGGACCAGAAAGUUUACACUUUACAAAUAUUAUCUAUUAUAACUUAUUUUAGUGCACGCUUGGAUGCGACAAAGGCAUGGAUGUCUGAAAAUUUUCUCCAGCUAAACAGCAGCAAAACAGAGGUACUGCUCAUCGGUGCCCUUCCUCCUAACCCUAACCCUAACCAGGUCAAAUCUUCUAACCUAAAACAUAUUACCAUAUUAGGUAGUAACAUAACAUUUUCUACACCUACCACUAAUCUCAGAAUCAAACUGGACCAACAUUUAUCACUUGAAAAUCAUGUCCGUCACCUUUCUAAAGUAUCAUUUUUCCAUCUAAAAAACAUAGCAAGACUUCGCCCGUUUCUUACCCAAUCAGAUGCUGAGAAGUUGACCCAUGCCUUUGUUUCGUCUAGGCUAGACUACUGCAAUUCUUUACUUAUUCUAGUGGAUGCCUACAGAGACUUCAGCACAUCCGGAACUGUGCUGCCAGAAUUGUGACAAGGGGUCACAAACAUGACCACAUUACACCUGUACUGAAGUCUCUUCAUUGGUUACCAAUCCCCCAUAGAAUUAAAUACAAACUAGGUCUCCUUACCUAUCAGCGUAUCCACGGAAAUGCUCCUAUUUAUCUUAAAGAGCUCCGUACUAUCCACAUCAUCUCAAGAAAUCUUCGCUCUAGAAAUUCUCAAUUCCUGCAACAGCCCAUACCACGGGAGAUCGAGCUUUUCAAGCAGCAGCCCCACGCCUGUGGAACACACUCCCUGAAACACUGAGAGCACCUCAGAGUGUUGAAUGUUUUAAAAAACAUCUGAAGACAUUUUCAUUUACACAAGCUUUUCCAAACUGAUUGGUAUUGCUGUUGUUUUACCGUGUGUUAACUUCGCAUUGUAUGGUUUUAUGUAUUUUUUUAUUUGUUUUAUUCAUUGUUUUUAAUUAUUCCAUACAUUGUUUCUGAUUUCCCACUGCAGCACUUUGAGAUUUCACUGAAAUGUAAAGUGCGUUACAAAUAAAAUCUAUUAUUAUUAUUAUUAUUAUUAAUGGGAAGAUACAUAGCUCUAAAUAGUUUGGGUUGAGCUCAGAUCUUUUAGUUUUUAACGUAACUCAUUAUCAGCUC